CUUUUAGGAAGCGUGCGAGUGGUUUAUAGAACAAGAUUUCAUUGACAAAAGUCGUCUUGGUGCGGUCGGAUUGUGUUUUGGAGGCUUUCUUUCGCUCGCUUUGGCAUCUGUAUUACCUCAGAUUCGAGGCGUGGUGAAUGUAAAUGGCGUUACAGUGACAGCUGAAGAAAACUGCAUUGUUUGUGAAUCACCGGCUUGGCUUAAGAAGGAGAUAUUAAGUAUACAAUACUGACGAAGGAAUAGUUAUAGCAGACGUUUAUGACUGUAAUAAUCCUUGGACUGUGCCCGCCUGGCAACAUGGUGCAAAGAUUUUAGUGAUUGUGGGCGAAGACGACAAACAGGUUCAUCCAAAGUGGCACACAUUUUACUACGAGCAAUGUCCUUCUCAUUUCAAAAAAAAUAUCCAGAUCAACCGAUAUCCGGGAGCCGGGCAUAUGAUCGAGCCUCCAUACUCGCCACACUCAAGGGUGGUCACUCCAGGACGGAAACGAAUGAAAUCAAUUAAUUUUAUAUCAGAAAAAUUCUAUGAUGCAGAUAUGGUUGUAGGCGGAUGGCCUGAUAAACACGCAUUUGCUCAGGAAGAUUCUUGGAAUAAAAUAUUGACAUUUUUAGAACAAAAUGUGAAAAACCCAAGCUGAAAGACCAGAAUGAUGCCGACAAAACAUGCUUCAUUACGUUGUGUGUAUGAAAUCCAAAUGACCUUAAAGCGCCACGGAGAAGUCAUGUUAUAUAUUGAAAUUGUAAAUACUUUUGUAACAACUGGUUGUAAAUUUGCCAGAAUAAUGUAUGCACAUAUUGACA